GUUAGUAACUAUUUUAUAAUCUGUGGUAGAAUCAUAGCCAAUAGGAUUGAACAGGAAAAUUGUACGCGGCAGACAUUUUGAGAUUGAAGGCGUGUUGGAGUUGAGCACGUGUUAGAGAAAGUAUAAAAGUUAUGGAAUUCUUUGCUUUUUACAAUGACCUUAAUACGCCGGAAAAUGUGCAGAAAAAUAUUUUGCAGGUAUCAUGAGUAUUUGUUGACAGUCCUGGAGAAAUUUAUGGGAAGAAAUUGCUGUGCCCACCGAUGAAGGUUAUAGAGUUUUUGAGUGAGCUGAAGACCACUGUAUCUUCAUCUCUGUCCACUCCUUCAGCUAUGCACCAUAUGUGAGAAGCCUUUCUUUGAAAGUCCUGGAGUGGAAGCAGUAAAGGAAGAGCUGUUCCCGGAUGUCUGCUGUCUCUGAGUGAUCUAGUACCAUUCACCCCUUUAACUGCAUACUAUCAAGAAGCCCCACGACCAGAGGCACCUGUCACAGCAUGUACUUCUCGUCAUCAAAGGCGCAGACCCCAAACAAAGGAGGACUUUGAGAAGUAUCAGAGCAUAAGAGCUGCAGAGGAUAUGUGCACAGGCAUGAUGAAAAAUCGUGCGUUUCGAGAUAGUGCG